rnacentral:rRNA from 1 species
AUUGAAGAGUUUGAUCAUGGCUCAGAUUGAACGCUGGCGGCAGGCCUAACACAUGCAAGUCGAGCGGUAGCACAGAGAGCUUGCUCUCGGGUGACGAGCGGCGGACGGGUGAGUAAUGUCUGGGAAACUGCCUGAUGGAGGGGGAUAACUACUGGAAACGGUAGCUAAUACCGCAUAAUGUCGCAAGACCAAAGUGGGGGACCUUCGGGCCUCAUGCCAUCAGAUGUGCCCAGAUGGGAUUAGCUAGUAGGUGGGGUAAUGGCUCACCUAGGCGACGAUCCCUAGCUGGUCUGAGAGGAUGACCAGCCACACUGGAACUGAGACACGGUCCAGACUCCUACGGGAGGCAGCAGUGGGGAAUAUUGCACAAUGGGCGCAAGCCUGAUGCAGCCAUGCCGCGUGUGUGAAGAAGGCCUUCGGGUUGUAAAGCACUUUCAGCGGGGAGGAAGGCGGUGAGGUUAAUAACCUCACCGAUUGACGUUACCCGCAGAAGAAGCACCGGCUAACUCCGUGCCAGCAGCCGCGGUAAUACGGAGGGUGCAAGCGUUAAUCGGAAUUACUGGGCGUAAAGCGCACGCAGGCGGUCUGUCAAGUCGGAUGUGAAAUCCCCGGGCUCAACCUGGGAACUGCAUUCGAAACUGGCAGGCUAGAGUCUUGUAGAGGGGGGUAGAAUUCCAGGUGUAGCGGUGAAAUGCGUAGAGAUCUGGAGGAAUACCGGUGGCGAAGGCGGCCCCCUGGACAAAGACUGACGCUCAGGUGCGAAAGCGUGGGGAGCAAACAGGAUUAGAUACCCUGGUAGUCCACGCCGUAAACGAUGUCGAUUUGGAGGUUGUGCCCUUGAGGCGUGGCUUCCGGAGCUAACGCGUUAAAUCGACCGCCUGGGGAGUACGGCCGCAAGGUUAAAACUCAAAUGAAUUGACGGGGGCCCGCACAAGCGGUGGAGCAUGUGGUUUAAUUCGAUGCAACGCGAAGAACCUUACCUGGUCUUGACAUCCACAGAACUUAGCAGAGAUGCUUUGGUGCCUUCGGGAACUGUGAGACAGGUGCUGCAUGGCUGUCGUCAGCUCGUGUUGUGAAAUGUUGGGUUAAGUCCCGCAACGAGCGCAACCCUUAUCCUUUGUUGCCAGCGGUCCGGCCGGGAACUCAAAGGAGACUGCCAGUGAUAAACUGGAGGAAGGUGGGGAUGACGUCAAGUCAUCAUGGCCCUUACGACCAGGGCUACACACGUGCUACAAUGGCAUAUACAAAGAGAAGCGACCUCGCGAGAGCAAGCGGACCUCAUAAAGUAUGUCGUAGUCCGGAUUGGAGUCUGCAACUCGACUCCAUGAAGUCGGAAUCGCUAGUAAUCGUAGAUCAGAAUGCUACGGUGAAUACGUUCCCGGGCCUUGUACACACCGCCCGUCACACCAUGGGAGUGGGUUGCAAAAGAAGUAGGUAGCUUAACCUUCGGGAGGGCGCUUACCACUUUGUGAUUCAUGACUGGGGUGAAGUCGUAACAAGGUAACCGUAGGGGAACCUGCGGUUGGAUCACCUCCUU